rnacentral:rRNA from 1 species
UGGGGAAUAUUGCACAAUGGGGGAAACCCUGAUGCAGCGACGCCGCGUGAACGAAGAAGGUAUUCGUAUCGUAAAGUUCUGUCCUAUGGGAAGAUAAUGACAGUACCAUAGAAGAACGCUCCGGCUAAAUACGUGCCAGCAGCCGCGGUAAUACGUAUGCAGCGAGCGUUGUCCGGAAUUAUUGGGCGUAAAGGGUACGCAGGCGGUUUAAUAAGUGGAAUGUUAAAGAUCGGGGCUCAACCCCGCAAAGCAUUGGAAACUGAUAAAAUGGAGUAGUGGAGAGGAAAGUGGAAUUCCUAGUGUAGUGGUGAAAUACGUAGAUAUUAGGAGGAAUAACAGUAGCGAAGGCGACUUUCUGGACACAAACUGACGCUGAGGUACGAAAGCGUGGGGAGCAAACAGG